CAAACUUUGGGGGUCUUCACCCACUCUCUCCUCUCACAGUCUAUGAAUGGGCUGCUGAGGGUAGUGACCAGCCUUAAGGGCUGAUGUCUCCCUCAGGUGCCUAACACUAUGUUUGACAUAUACUUGGUGCUAAAUGAAUGUUAGUGAAACCCACUGAACACAAAUGUGGCACGGAGGCCAGUGAGAGGAGGACUGGAAGCAUUAGUGGAUUUGGCAAUGGUCAGGGGGAUGGUGUGCCAUUUGGUAGAUGAGUUUGGGGGACAGGAGAAGUGGGGAUGGAAGCUAGACUUCAGCAGGCUGAGGAGGCAGUUUUUUUGGGGUAGAGUUUGGUUGGGUGGGGGUGAUGAGGAAGUGGAAGACAGUGAGUGUCUCAAUUCCUCAUAAGAGUUUGUCUGAGACAAGAAGGAGAGAAAGUGCCGAGCUCACAUUUUGUGACUACAGCGUUUUCUAAGAAUUUAAAGGAACGUUUGUUGCUCCUCUUUCUCCUCGAAACAUGGCAUGUUCCUUGUAGCAAAGUUAGAAAAAUACAUAGAAGAAAAGAAACUUCUGUAAUUCUGUCCAUUAGAAACAUAUCCUGUGCAGCCUCAGAGUAAUUUCCUUCUGGACUUCUUCCAGCUUUGUGUUUUAGUAGAAAUGGUAUCACUUAGUGCAUUAUUUUGCAACGUAUCUGUUUCACUUAAUAGUUCAUGAAUACCUUUCUCUUGCCGAUGCUACUCUUCUUCCAAAACAUCCUGUAAACUUUUAUUGACCUCUCUAUCUCAUAUCUGGGAUUCAAAUGCUUUGAAAUCCAACAGGUACAAAGGCGCGUUCACGGGAAGGUUGUCCCUUUUAUUUUCUGCCUUGGAGCUCACUCAUUUUUGCUCCCUGGAGGCAACUGACACUCCCUUACAAGCAGCAAAUUUAGUAGUUAGAUCAUAUUCCAUUGCAUAAAUGUUCUGAUAUUUAUUUAUUUUUUAAUUUUUAUUCUUUUUUGAGACAGGGUCUCCCUCUCCAAUAUUUAUUACAAUAGCUUUCCAUCUUGAAUAUUUGGAUAUUGCUAUUUUAUUUUGCUAUUAUACAUAAGGUUAUGAUGAAUGUCCUUCUGGCUGAAUCUUUGCAUACAUACUUCAUUUUGUUAGAAUACAUUUUUAGAAGCAGAAUUUCUGGGUCAGAAGGUAGCACAAAUUAAAAAAAAAAUCCAAUAUCAGAUUUUUACCUCCAGAACAAUCUGUAUCGAUUGACAUCCCCUAGCAAUGCACGAGAAUGUUCGUAUCCCCGCCUAAGCCCUCUACCUGUGUUACUAAAACUCACUUCCUCAAACGGUGCCAACUUAGUGGGUGAAAGGUGCGUGCGAGGGCCUCUAAUCCUCAUUGUGAACUGAACUUUUAAAGGGUGCCAGUAAUAUCUUGGGGAAAAAUAGGAGACUAGGUGAUGGCUCCAGGGAGGUCAGCUCUGAGUCCCCAGGGAGGGCUGACCUGUGAGAAGAGCAGAGGAGACAAUCUAGUGUGGCUUGAGGUGGCUACAUUGCCAGUGGGUGCAAAGUCCAGGGACAGGAUUCUUCAUUUUUCAGAAACCCCCAGGUGGAAGGGGGAGGGCCCCAGGCCAUGAGAAGCAUGAAGGCCAUGAACGAUUCAGAACCUGAGGUCAAGGGACAAUUGGCACACAGGCAUGAUUUUUGUUUUUUCCCCUCAAAGAGACUAUGGUAUUCUUUUUCUGAUAACUUACUGGUGCACUAAAAGGGGUUCCUGGAACAGGCUUGGGGGUGCUGGUGGUGAAUGCUCUUGGGUGAGCAAAAUGCCCCCCUCUCUAGAUAGUUUGCCCCGUGGACAGGCUUGGGGUAGGAGCCUGUGUCCUUGUGUCCUCUGAUGCUGGGCUGUGCUGCUUGGGGAAGGGAGAAUAAAGACUGCUUUCAUGCACCCAGCUGAGAGUGGGGCAAGGGACACCAAGGGCUCCCUUAUUCAUAAACCCCAGAUUUUAGAAAGUUUGCACUGAAGGGUGAACCUGAACAUUGGGAAGAAUAGGAUAUUCCCUCAACAUUCACCUACCCUUUAGGUUUCUCUGAACAAUUCCUGCUUUUACCACAUCAGCCUCAAGGGCGAACUCCUCUUUGGUUUUUCUACACUGCUGUAGACAGGGCAAGUCUCUAGAUGACUUAGUUUCUUAAAAAAUGCAGGACAAAAAGGAGAAAUAAGAUAAUUUGACUUCCAAUACAUAGUCACAUGUCUUUGGGUUAGGGUUGCGAGAUGUCCCCCUGAGUUGUUUCCAGUCUGACUCUCAAGUUUGGGAAUCAAAAUUUUGUCCCUACCCCUCAGGGGCACCUACAAGGAACAUAAGCCUCCUUGACGUUCACCGUAGAGAGCUGGCACCAGAGUGAAACGGGCAGCUCCAGUCCACUCUCUGUGAAUUUGGAGUCAUACCUUGCUCUUACAGUUUUCUUGUCCCCCAGCUAUUAUUUCCUAUUGAUUAUGCUUCUCAAAUACGGUUUUAUCCAAGGCAUAGUUUUGGGCCCAGGUGGCAUUACCCCAUCCUGCACUCCAGCUGGAUUCUUCAUUAGCCUCUGCAUUUUGUCCCCUAGGGCUGCUGUGAAAGAUGACCACAAACUAGGUGGCUUAAAACAACAAAAAUUUAUUCUCUCACAGUUCUGGAGGCUGUAAGUUUGAAACCAAGGUGCCAGCAGGGUUGGUUCCUUCUGGAGCCUAUGAAGGAGGCUUCCAGUGGCUGCCAGCAAUCCCUGUUGCUCCUUGGCUUUUAGACACGUGGCUCCAAUAUCUGCCUCCGUCAUCACAUAGCCUUCUUUUCUUCUUUGCAUGUCUUCUCUUCUUAGGAAGACACCAACUAUUGGAUUCAGAGCCUACCCCAAUCCAGUAUGACCACAUCUUAAGUGGGAACAUCAGCAAAGACUCCAUUUCCAAAUAAGGUUACAUUCUGAGGUGCUGGGUGGAAAUGAAUUAUUUCAGGGCAACCAUUCAGCCCAUUGCAGUCUCUCUGACUUCAGACUCCUCCUUCUACCUGUCCAUGCUACGGACCCUGUUGGAGUCAUUUUUCUUAGACCUCACGCAGUGGAAGCACCCCACCCCUGUCUCAAGCCCUUCAAUGACUCCCCACUGCCAACAGAAUAAAGUCUUAUCUCUUUAGCUCAACUUGUGAAGAUUAACCAUAGUCUGGCCCCUGUGAUCUUUUCUACAUUCCAUUUCUCCAUUUCUCCUACACACUCCCUAUCAUCCCAUGGGAAAGGUCUUCUACGUUGUUGAACAUGCUGUGAACGCUCUUUUCUCCUGCCUCCUUCUGUCUGUUGCUGAGCUGCUCUUUUUCUCGAACACCCAUGUUAUAUAUCUUUCCUUGUUCAUAAGGAUGUUUCCAGCCAGCCCAUGUCAAAGGGCUCACCUAUCUUCAUAGACCAACCCUAGCCCACAUGGUGCACCAUUUCAGUCUGUAGUGUGGCUGUCCUCUACUGGUGACAUUUCCAUUUUCCAUUUCCAUUUUACCCAGGGGCAAGCCUGUGUGCCGUACUUCUUUGGGUCCUUGGUUUUGACAAUGGUGUUCAGACCAUGUGGCUUCAUGGUCAAUGAUUUUGUAUGCUGCUGCUUGUGUGAGCAUGCUGAAUUGCUCCAUGACUGCAGCUCCCUCUAAAGCCGAUGGAGAGCCCUGUGCUGAGAUGAAUGAGGGGAAAGGAGAAAAUUGUUGCCACUUUGAGAGUCAAGGGCAGUGGUCUUUCCAAGGAAGAGUGAACUAGUAGAAUCACUGCAGGAGAAGCAAAUUCUGGAGGAUGGAUGCCAAGAGGCACUGUAGGAAAAGUUGCAAAGAUAUAUGUGCGGGAAAUCACUGCUCCCAUCCUCCUUGGGAGACAACUGGCAAACAACAUAGUUGGCAAAGGAUAGGGACCGGGAGGGAAGUAAAAGAGGAGACAGAGUACAAUGAACAGAACAGAUGUCAAUGGCCUUAUCAGCUUUAACAGAUGAUCUGAAAACUUUAAAGUAACAAGGAAAUUUUUAUUCUCAUAAUUGUUAGUAGUGUCUUUUGCUAGCUCCUCCGACGUGACAGUGAUUGACAAUUGGCAGCUGGGUCUUCAAACUCAUAGAGUUGCAUCUCUAUGGGGACACAUGAGGAGCUUAGCUCUUCUAUCUGGAAGUAGGUGUCCUCUAAACUUUCUUGUGCUGUGUACUCUGUUUUUUUUUUUUUUUGACUGUCUCAGCUGCAUCAAAGCCCCAUUGACAUUGCCCUUUGGGAUCAAAAAGUAGUCCACCCGAGAAGAAACAGUAGAGUUUUAGAGAAUCGGGGUGAGAAUUCUGGGCAGAUGGCCAAGGUGUGGGCUCCAGGCUGAGCUCACUGACACAUGACAUUAUGUGUUUCAGGUACUGGGACAAGUUUCCAAUGUCAAAAUCUUUGAAGCCACCAGGGCCUUUUUUUUUUCGCUGUGUCUUGGCAGUACGCCUUUAUAUAGUAGUAGGUUCAGAAACUCAGGCUAAAGAAAGCAUCCAGAAAAGAUUGUCCGCCUCUGCAACAGUUUGUGGGUAGCUUGUAAUUGUAGUUCUGAUCUUGCCAAUCUGUCUUAUAACUCUAAAUGUGUGGUCUCACCUGGCUAGAUACAGAAAAUACCUAUCUUCUUAUAGAAGCAGGCAAUUGUCAACCCCAUUAAAAAAUUAUGGUUUCUGGACAUUCCAUCUAAUAGGAAUGCCAGUUUGCCUUCUGAUAUGUUGCCAGUCUGGCCAUUUCCGCAGUCACUAUUCAGCACUAGAGGAGGAAUUCAGUUAAAGUUCCUUUGUCAGUAAGUCUUCCAUGCAACAUAUUUAUUUCCAGGUCCUAAUGGCAAUUCCUCAGGAAAAAAAAAAAAAAAGAUCAACGCUCAAGUUUGAGUUUGUCCCAUUCAUCUACAUAAAGAAUAUCCAACAGUUUGAAGUGUCUUUUUGAGAAUCAGAAACCGGAGAGGAGAUAGGAGGCAAAGGUUGUAUUCUUCGAGAUCCUGCUCUUAAGCAGUGAUUCUUCUCUAGCACUCCUUGUUACUAGAAUUUUCCAGCCAUCUCUAACAAAAGCAAAGUACAAAGAGCAUUUAACACAAACCAAAACGUGAAACAAUCUUUUGAUGGUUCAGUGUCAUGACUGUGACUUCGAAUUUUUCACUAGAUUAAAAAAAAAAAAAAACCGCAUACGCCCAGGUAGUCUCUGCAUCAAGUCUGACACCAUUGCUCCAAUGUUAUGAGGCUGAAGCAAUUGUGGAUGAUUGAUGUCACUCUUCUAGCCGUUUCCUGUUUCCACAGAGAGAGGCUGGGUUAAUCCAACUCUAUUCUAACUUCGGAGGCAUCAAGGAUUCCAGGCAGUGUCUCCCGUGUUUCUUUUUCCAAGUGAAUUCCUGGAAGGAAACAAUGACGUCCAUGUGUCUUUGCAUCCCCAGGAACCAGUUCAGUAACUGGCACAUAAGAACACACUGAAAAAAAUUGUUUUGUUUUUGAACGACAGUGAUUUAAAAGUAGUAAGGGCCUCGUAAAUAUAGGACGUUGUACUCGUAUUUUUCUUCUGAGCAUACAAAUAUUUGCAAUGAGGUUGCACUGCAGACUCCAUAGCCAUUGUGGCACCUGGGGCUCUGUGACUUGGAGGCAGAGGAGAUGGAAUGCCAGCAAGAAGAGGGAGAUUGUGGUGUGGAUGUGAGGGAUAAGGGUGAAUUAGUUUCCUACAGCUGCUGUUACAAAUUUACCGCAAGAUAAAUGGGUUAAAACAGUACAGAUUUAUUAUCUCACAGUUCUGGAAGACAGAAGUUCAAACUACUGGUAAAGUUCAAAGUGUUGGCAAGGCUGUGCUCCUCAGGAGGCUCUAGAGGAGAACUUUUUUCUUGCCUUUUCCUGUUUCUAGGGGCCACCUGCAUCCUUUGGCUCAUGGCCUCUUCCUCCAUCUUAAAAGCCAGCUUCUUCAAAUUCAUCUCUAAUUCUGACACUACUUGUCUUGCUUCCCUCUCUCAUUUAUAGGGGCCCCUGUGAUGACAGUGAGCUCACCCUGAUAAUUGAGGUGAAUCUCCCCAUCUUAGGGUUAGCCUAUUAGCAACCUAAAUUCCACCUGCAACUUUAAUUUCCCCCUUGCCAAGCACCAUGACAUAUUCACAGAUUCUGGGGAGGAGGGCAUGAGCAUCUUUGUCGGGGCAUUGUUCUGUUCAUCACAGAGAAGCACUCAGACAUUCUGGAGUCCAGUGUCCUCAUUCUACACUUGAGGAAGCUUGGGCUCAGUGGUUUUAUGUUAAUUCCAACAGUUUUUGCCACAGGAGGAGGAGAAUGUCUGUCCAGGAGCCCUAAUCAAGACUCAGCAGGAAGCUGGUGGCUUCCUUUCCUUCCUUCCAGUUCUUCCUUCUACAUAUGGGGCUCAUCAUAUUCCCACUGACUUAGAUGCUGAGGGGCCAGACUGAAGGGACAGUGGUCAUUGCAUCAAGUCAGAGAACGGAUCUGACCCAUCUAGUUAUUCCUUCUACAUCUGUGCCUCAUCCCAUUUCCACUGACUUAGAUGCUGAGGGACAGACUGAAGGGACAGGGGCCAUUGCAUCAAGUCAGAGAACAGAUCUGACCCAUCUAGUAGAAGCUUUUGUUUUGGCAGAAGCACAAGCUCUUAGAGGUGCAGCUGCAGGGUGUGAUCUAUUGGGGACAUUGAGCUCAGUGACCAUGGGCCCUGAGAGUCUGAAAUCUUGGAAUUUCUCCCAAAGCAAAGUCCAUGUAGGGAAGCCAAAGUGUGAGUCUUACCUGGCUGGUUUACAACUGACUGACAUUUGCUGCCUGGGCAGCUGCUGUGGGUGCCUGGAAACCCUAUUGGACUAGGACUGGCCCCGGCAAAAAACAAGUGUUUCAGCUGCCCAGUGUCCUCUGAGUGGAUGCUGGUGAUUCUGGUAUGGAGCCCAGGUGUAAGGCAGCAGGUGGUCCAGGAGGCACCAGAAGAGGUCUCCUGUCAAGGUCAGGGCCAGAGAGGAAGGCACAGGGGAUCUACUGCAUGAGACUUUCACUUGCAAAGAGCAACCCAUGAUGAGGAGGGAGGAUGCCUGGGGCAUUGAGUCUCAUCCAUAAGGGCACUUUUUCCAAGUUACUUCGUUUUGUAUAGCUGCACAGUCCCUCACCCUCACCACUGUACCGAGAGCUGGCAGCUGACAAGAAUACAUCUUCCAACCAAGAUCCCUUCUGGGACCAAGGACACAAGGACCCAAGACCUUCUUGCUUGGAAAGUGAAUUUCUCAGAACUCCGAGAUGAUGCCAGUCUUGGAGGAAGAUGACAUGAGGACCCCAGACCUUCUUGCUUGGAAAGUGAAUUCCUCAGAACUCCGCGAUGACACCAGUCUUGGAGGAAGGCGAGGUGUUGAGAGAUGGCUGCGAUCCCUGAGGAAGGCAGCCACAGUCUCCGGUGGAGAAUUAUGAGGGACCCAAGCAGAUGGUUGGUGGUGGAAAUGUCACCUCAGUAUAGUACUAUAGAGUUUCCUUUCACCCCCAACAGCCGAUGGUUUCCAGGGGCGAAGAGUGAAAAUUGAAGCAAGGUGUCUACCGUCCAGCUGCAGAGAAGGAGGCAGGGCGCCUGCCACCCCCAAGGAAGAGUCAGUUCAGAAGCACAGCAGCUGCUGGAAACCCAGGAAGUUUCCAGUUCGUUCCUGCUGGGACCUGGCAAGAGUUGCACUGUCAAGGCUGCAAGAGGAAUUCAUUGUUCAUUUGGAAAAUGUACAACUCACCAUGGCUCUUUCGGCUCCUGACGGCUUCUGAUGUGUACAGACUGGAAUAAGAGAACCUAGCAGAAAUGGAAGCAGAGGCAAGAGGUCUGGAGGCCAGGAAAAUGUCAAUGGAAAGCAGCUAGCAUGAAGACCCCACAGUGUUCCUCCCUCUACUAGUCUGGUAUUAAUCUGGAGAUGCUCCCAAUAUGGUUGGGACGUUUGUCCCCUAAAUCUCAUAUGAGAAUUUGAUCCCCAGUUUGGGGGAUGGGGUCUGGUGGGAGGAGUUUGGGUCAUGAUGGGGACCCAUCAUGAAUGGCUUGGUACCCCGCUCACCAGGAAUGAAUGAGCUCUCACUCUACUAGUUCACUGGAGAGCUGGUUGUUUAAAGAGCCUGGCAUCUGCCCCACUUUCUCUCUUGCUCCCCCAUCUCACUGUGAUAAACCUGCUCCCCUUUGCCAUCGAUCAUGAGUGGACACUUCUUGAAGCCUUCACCUGAAGCAGAUGCCGACACUGUGCUUCAUGUACAGCCUGCCAUACCAUGAGUCAAAAUAAACCUCUUUUCUUUGUAAAUUA